CCCGGUCUGUGGUUGUAAUGGUUUAUGUAUAUCUAGAGUUGGGAGGUCCUGGGUAAAGUCCUGGUCUGUGGUUGUAAUGGUUUAUGUAUAUCUAGAGUUGGGAGGUCCUGGGUAAAGUCCCGGUCUGUGGUUGUAAUGGUUUAUGUAUAUCUAGAGUUGGGAGGUCCUGGGUAAAGUCCUGGUCUGUGGUUGUAAUGGUUUAUGUAUAUCUAGAGUUGGGAGGUCCUGGGUAAAGUCCCGGUCUAUGGUUGUAAUCGUUUAUGUCUAUCUAGAGUUGGGAGGUCCUGGGUACAAGUCCUGGUCUGUGGUUGGAGGUCCUGGGUACAAGUCCAGGUCUGUGGUUGUAAUGGUUUACGUCUAUCUAGAGUUGGAGGUCCUGGGUAAAGUCCCGGUCUGUGGUUGUAAUGGUUUACGUCUAUCUAGAGUUGGGAGGUCCUGGGUAAAGUCCUGGUCUGUGGUUGUAAUGGUUUAUGUAUAUCUAGAGUUGGGAGGUCCUGGGUACAAGUCCUGGUCUGUGGUUGUAAUGGUUUAUGUAUAUCUAGAGUUGGGAGGUCCUGGGUAAAGUCCUGGUCUGUGGUUGGAGGUCCUGGGUACAAGUCCCGGUUUGUGGUUGUAAUGGUUUAUGUCUAUCUAGAGUUGGGAGGUCCUGGGUACAAGUCCCGGUCUGUGUUGUUGCAUUCUUCUGCUUUUGCUACAACAGCAUUAUAAACCAACAGUUUCAUAAAUCAUCCCUCUGAAUAUUGAUUCAUUGUAUUUUUAAACAACUAGGAUGAUGAAAUGCAUAGAAUUUAUCGAAAUGGGAUAUACAGGGUGACUAAAACCAUACCCAAAGUGAUGUGUCUCAUAGUCAAUCUGGAGGAGGACAAUGAUCGGGAAAGAGACGUCUAAUAAAUUGCGACACUUAUUUUGUGACUACCCUUAAAUCUUUUUUGCCUAUAGCUAUUUUCAAGGAGGGACUAUUAAAUCUAUGACUCUGUCAAAUGUCUAUAUACCCUUUGUAAAAACUAUUUAUGAACCUAUUUUUGUUUUUUCUAGCAUGCCUGCGA